rnacentral:rRNA from 1 species
CACCUGCACAGGUGCUGCAUGGCUGUCGGUCAGCUCGUGUCGUGAGGAAUGUUCGGGUUAAGUCCCGCAACGAGCGCAACCCUUAUCCCUAGUUGCCAUCAGGUAAAGCUGGGAACUCUGGGGAGACUGCCGGUGAUAAACCCGGAGGAAGGCGGGGAUGACGUCAAGUCCUCAUGGCCCUUACAUCCCGGGCUACACACGUGCUACAAUGGCAGGUACAGAGGGCUGCGAAGCCGCGAGGUGGAGCGAAUCCCAGAAAACCUGUCUCAGUCCGGAUUGAAGUCUGCAACUCGACUUCAUGAAGGCGGAAUCGCUAGUAACCGCGAAUCAGCAGGUCGCGGUGAAUACGUUCCCGGGCCUU